rnacentral:snRNA from 1 species
AUCCGAGUGCAUGGGUCUUACACGAAUCAAUGAGGAUCAUCCGAGAUCGUGUUUGCUGGUCAAAACAACUGACCACUUCAAGUGAGCUUAAUCGCUUGGGAAUUUUUGAAGCUACCCUUAAC